rnacentral:rRNA from 1 species
AGUGAACGCUGGCGGUAGGCCUAACACAUUCAAGUCGAACGGCAGCACAGUAAGAGCUUGCUCUUACGGGUGGCGAGUGGCGGACGGGUGAGGAAUACAUCGGAAUCUACUUUUUCGUGGGGGAUAACGUAGGGAAACUUACGCUAAUACCGCAUACGACCUACGGGUGAAAGCAGGGGAUCUUCGGACCUUGCGCGAUUGAAUGAGCCGAUGUCGGAUUAGCUAUUUGGCGGGGUAAAGGCCCACCAAGGCGACGAUCCGUAGCUGGUCUGAGAGGAUGAUCAGCCACACUGGAACUGAGACACGGUCCAGACUCCUACGGGAGGCAGCAGUGGGGAAUAUUGGACAAUGGGCGCAAGCCUGAUCCAGCCAUACCGCGUGGGUGAAGAAGGCCUUCGGGUUGUAAAGCCCUUUUGUUGGGAAAGAAAAGCAGCAGGUUAAUACCCCGCUGUUCUGACGGUACCCAAAGAAUAAGCACCGGCUAACUUCGUG